GUGUCAGCAGCCGCGGUAAUACGGAGGAGGCAAGCGUUAUCCGGAAUUAUUGGGCGUAAAGCGUCCGCAGGUGGCACUUCAAGUCUGUCGUCAAAGACUGGGGCUUAACCCUGGAAAGGCGGUGGAAACUGAAGCGCUAGAGUGCGGUAGGGGUAGAGGGAAUUCCCGGUGUAGCGGUGAAAUGCGUAGAGAUCGGGAAGAACAUCGGUGGCGAAAGCGCUCUACUGGACCGCAACUGACACUCAGGGACGAAAGCUAGGGGAGCGAAUGGGAUUAGAUACCCCAGUAGUCC
rnacentral:rRNA from 1 species